CGGGGUUCUCAGGGCGGGGCGGAAAUCCCCACCGGCGGUAUGCAAUUCACGUUGCGAGCCCGCGAGCGCCUUCCGAUGGAAGGGUCGAGCAGAUCAGGUGAGAUGCCUGAGCCGACGGUCAUAGUCCGGAUGAAAGAGAACGGGU
rnacentral:ncRNA from 2 species